ensembl:lncRNA
UGUAACAUUCCCUUUUUACACGCACACAUCCGCCCAACAUUCUAAACUCUACCUCUGUCCACACGUUUGCAAUGUUUUGAAUUCUGAGUUUGUACCACCUUACAACGCUGCAGUUUAGUGUUGACUGUCUGGUUUGCUCAAAGAUUAUUUUGGCUUAUCCUUGGAAUGUUAUUGGGGUUGUUGUCGUAGAACUCUCAAUUUAUAUUGAGUAAUUGUAGGAAAGCUAAAUCCCAAAAUACUGAUUUUCAGAUUGUCUAAGCAAGGUAGGUCUGUUGGUCAUGUGUUGAAAGGAGAAACGGGAGAUCGUCCGCCGUUCAACUCAAGGUGAGGUGCUGGUUAUAUUACUUGGUGCUGGUUGGGUUUUGACUGAAUUAGCAUUUUAGUUGUCUAUUAAUAGAUUUUGUUUGGAAAAUGGUUUCUGUACUGCCUAUGUCAUUCUAUGCCAAUAUUUGGCCUUAAAUUUGUCCCUUGAUGAAAGGUUUAUAAGUUGGCUGUGAUUAGAAAAAUUUGGAUUGUAUCUGCAACAUUCUCAACUCUACCUCUGUAUUUACAAUGCAAUGUAUUUUAAAUGCUAAAAUGUCGUGUUACAUUCCCUUUUUACACGCACACAUCCGCCCAACAUUCUAAAAUCUACCUCUGUCCAUACAAUGCAAUGUAUUUUAAAUGCUGAAAUGUCGUGUUACAUUCCCUUUUUACACGCACACAUCC